AGUUAAUUAGCUUAUAAGUAAAGCAUUUACUUUGAAAGUAAAGAAAAGAAAAUUGAGUUCUAUUAACUU
rnacentral:tRNA from 2 species